UUACGAAAACUCCGCAAUGCACGAAAGUGUGACGGGGCUAUCCCGAGUGCCGUCCGCUGAGGAUGGCUUUUCUCCAGUGUAAGGAGCUGGAGGAAUAAGGAGAGGGCAAGACUGGUGUCAGCCGCCGCGGUAAUACCAGCUCUCCGAGUGGUAGGGACGAUUAUUGGGCUUAAAGCGUCCGUAGCCGGCUCAGCAAGUCCUCCGUUAAAUCCAGCGAUUCAAUCGUUGGGCCGCGGGGGAUACUGUUGGGCUUUGGGGACGAGAGAGGCCGACGGUAUUCUCGGAGUAGGGGUGAAAUCCUAUAAUUCCGGGAGGACCACCAGUGGCGAAGGCUGUCGGCUAGAACGAGCUCGACGGUGAGGGACGAAAGCUGGGGGAGCGAACCGGAUUAGAUACCCGGGUAGUCCCAGCUGUAAACGAUGCGGGCUAGGUGUUAGGGUGGCUACGUGCCACUCUAGUGCCGCAGCGAAGGCAUUAAGCCCGCCGCCUGGGG
rnacentral:rRNA from 1 species